GCUUUGAAAUGCUAAUUUUCAAGGAAGUAGUGUAUAUUGAUGAUAGUCUUCUUGCUUAAUGUUUGUAAAGCUUGGUCAUACUAGUUCUCAAUUAAAUAGUGAUGUGGGCCACAGGGCCUGAUAGAUGAAACACAAAUUUGAUUGGGUUGGGUCAUUUCAUCUUGUUUGGUGGUUUUCCUUCGACUCUUUUUUUUUUUUCAUUCCCUUUUGAAGGAGAAAAGAAAGAUACAAGUCCACUUCCUGGCAUCACUGUGAUGGAAAUUGUGUACUAGAAAGUUGGGGGGGGGGGGGAGUAAUGAAAGAAAUUUCUAUCCCUGGCCAAAAAGAAUGCAGUUAUUAAGGUUAGGUUAUGCAAUUAUCUUUUCAGAUCCAAUUAAAAAAAAAUUGGCAGUCUCUUCCUUUCUCUUUUUGAGAGAUAAAUAUAUUCUUUGGGCUAAUGGAAACCAUGACCAUUCUCUCCUCUAAAAAAUGCAGGGACAACCCUAAAAUCUGGUUGCAGCUCUUUUAUCUUUUUGAGGGGAAAGUUAAACUUUUUGGGAGAAGCAGAAAUAAUUUAGAAAUGAGCUUAUUUACAACCACAAACAUCCUAUUGAAAAUGAGUCAAUUGAAUACAAAAUUUUCAUCCACAAUAGGCAGUUUUUGAACACCCCUAAGAAAAGAGAAAACAGAAAGAGGAAAUUUAUGUCAUUAAUCAUGAUGUUGCAUUGUUGUCACAUGUCAGUACUGUGAUGGGUCCAUGUGAUAGAGGACCAUGAAGCCAUCUUAUUGGUGAAUUUCAACCCUAUUUGUGUAGAGGAAGUGGUUCACAAUUACAAAGAUGCCAUUUUUAAUUUUCUCUCUCUAGUGGCAAAUUCGCAAAUUUGAAACUUUAGUUCAAACUUUGAUCCACUUCCCUUAUUUUCAGUUGAAAUUUUUUAUGAGUGACAUGGGUCUGAGUUCAUAUUUCACAUAGACCGACUGUUGUAUUGCCAUGUGGCAAGCUCAUGAAGGAUAAACUUCACUGUGUAUAAUGAAGCAUAGAAGGAUUCAAUACACUUGUUUCAAAAUUUAUAGCGGCCAUGAUCCCUCCUGCAAAUUGCUUGAUCCAUAGGAGCACGAAAAUAGCCUUCCAUGGCCGCUGUCCUUGAAGAUUUUAGACCGUCCAUGCUGACUUGGGAACAAACAACCACCAGCAAGUGAUUGCCUGCAUUUGAAGUGUUGCAAAAAUAUGUCAGAAGGUGCAAAAUCAAUAGGCGCCAGAGCUGCUACAAUUGCUUCAGCGGGAGCUGCUGUCG